AUGGUUUCGUGGAGCGACACCAGCGAGGAAUUGGGCUACGAGUACUCUUCAGGCGGCUCCCCUAUCAAGAUCCUGGCUACAAUUGAGGACCCGAACUACUCUGGUGUUGACGAUGAUGUGAUGGUGAUGUGUGAGCAUGGCCAGCCAGCGAAGAGGUUUGUUUUCUUCGAUGGGAUUAGCACUGAGAGGAGGUUCAUUGCUUGUGGACUUGAUGAAGCAAGCAAUUGUGGUGUUGUUCAGUGGGACAAUAUUCCCAAGGAAAAUGAAGUCCAACAAGGUGAACAUGAGGAGAUCACUCCUCAUUUGGACAAAAUGUCAGCUUUGAAGGAACAGUUGGGUGCAAUGGGAGCUGAGAACAAAGAACUGAAGGAAAAGGUUUACUAG
rnacentral:rRNA from 1 species